rnacentral:rRNA from 1 species
GACGAACCGUACGAACGUUAUUCGGAAUCACUGGGCUUAAAGGGUGCGUAGGCGGCCCUGCAAGUUGGGUGUGAAAUCCCUCGGCUCAACCGAGGAAUUGCGCCCAAAACUGCUGGGCUUGAGGGAGACAGAGGUAAGCGGAACUUAGGGUGGAGCGGUGAAAUGCGUUGAUAUCCUAAGGAACACCAGGAGCGAAGGCGGCUUACUGGGUCUCUUCUGACGCUGAGGCACGAAAGCUAGGGGAGCGAACGGG